AGCUCUUUUGCCAGUUCAUAUUUGUUUUAAAUAAACUUACCUUCAAAUAUGGGCUUUAAUUUAAUUUAAUCUAGAAAGAUUGUUUUGUUCCAGCCAAGCCGAAACAAUCUCUAUCGGCUUUCCUACAAAAAAUCUCUUUAUGUCCAACAAGCAGUGCUUUACAAUUGUGUUUGAUAAACCACAUGCAAGAAGCAAUUUUUUUAUUUUCCCCGCCCCUCUACCUCCAGGAUAAGACCGUCUUAAACAAUCCCCCACCCUCGGGCACGAAGGGCUGGACUUGUUCCGGGAGUUGCCCGGGGGGGGAUGAUAAUAGGUGGAAAUGAACGACGCAAAAAGUACAAGUAACAGUAAAUAGUAGGAGGUGUAAAAGUGAGUGGAGUCCAGAGAAAGCAUAGCUUGUAUUAUGAAAUAGGGACAGGGACUCCACGCUUGCUCCAGGAAGAUGAGCUCUCUUACAUCAUCAGACUGUGGUUUUUAAAUUUUUUAAAUCUUCUUUUAUCCCUUACCCAUCCCCGGGUCCAGUACAAAUAUCUUCUCUCAAUCAUCGCCCUUGAGCGUAGCGAGAGGCUGAUCUUUGAUCAGCGACGAAGUCGCGAACCCAAGCGAAACUAACAAAAUGGAAAUAUAAUUGGAGAGGACGUUUGAAAAGUCUAGUAGUUUUCUAGAACACGAAAAUUUCCAAGAGCAGCUAUGGGCUAUGGCCUGAGACGUAAACGGUUAAUUGUGUGUUUACGAAACGCUAAUUAGUAAUAAAGGAUAAACUAAGCGUGUACUUCAAGAGACAGUUUAAACAUCAACAUAGAUUGUUGUUUUAGAAGUAUGAAUAUACAGUGGAACUCCGUUAAUACAGUCACCAACAAGCCAUGAAAAUAUAGCCGUUUUAACAGGGUGGCCGUUUUAUUAAACGGCCGGGUAGUGUCAAAUUUUUGAUUGGUCUUAAUAGAGUGACAUCUUAACAGAUAUAUUACUAUUACACAUCUAAACAACUGUUCUUUAAGAAGCUCCCAAAAUGCAGGUAUAAUUAAAAAGAAAGAUUGAAGAUUUAAUCAGUUCAUGCAAUAUUAACCAUGGAAAUACGAAAAUAACUGGUUUGAGUGGCCGUAUUAGUUUCCACUCUAAGUAUUCCAGACUGCUCGCAAUGAACGCAUGUAUGCAUUGCGUACCUAUUCUUCAUUCAUGAGCUGGGGAAGCGGGAAAAUUUGCAUUUUGUCAACACCGCUUGUGGAACAGCUUCUGCGUCGGGUCCCUUGGUCGUUGACAAGGGAAAGCGCCUCGAACUGCUGAAUACGGAACUGGAAAUUUGCACUAACAUGCGAAGUACAUGAUGGUCAGAAACGGAAUUUCUUCGCAACUUAAGUCAAAUGUAGUCAACAAGAUGGAUUUAAGUUGAGAAUUUAAGCACACCAAGAAAAUUGAAUCAGGCAUGCUGAUGUCCGUGGUUCGCUUCUUUACAAGCAGCUUUUUAACUACUUGACAAACAGUGCAACAAUAAUAUUGGAAAUUUUUUACUUUCAGGGCAAAGUAGUUUCUGGGAGAUUUCACUGACAAUGGAACAACUUCAUUCACCAUAGCACAAAGGUAAGUUGUGAUGUGCUUUUUCUUUUAUCAGUGUGAUGUAUUGCUCAGAACUGAGGAUCCAACAUUCCAAAGUAUUAAACCAUGAGAGAGCCACUUGCUUAAGAAGUUCCCUAAAAUGGGUGAGCUGAAAGAAAGAUGCUUCAGGCUUAAGGGUGCUUCCAGUAUGCAAGUCUUGUAACUUGAUAGAAAACAUGCAUGUAUGGAGCCCUAGUAGUGGCCUGUUAGUCCAAACCAGUUUGAUCACCCAUUGUGCACAGUUCUUGCAAAGUGAACAAUAAAGUCAUUUUACUCUCACAGUGCCUCUGUCCAACCAAAAGUAUAUUUGUGUACCAGCAAAUUGCAGG